AAAAAAUAUGGGAGAUGUGCAUGAUAUUUAUAGAAGAAUCAAAGCAUGCAUGCACCAAUGCACUAGACUCCACACACAUAUAACACAUGCAUGUACCAAUGCAUGUGUCACACACACACAUGCACACAUGCAUACACAAUGCAUGUGGCGCCUACAUGCAUUGACUUUGCAUGCAUGCGCCAAGGCUUUAAGCACCUCCUAUCUAGGUUAGUUGACUUACACAUCAAUAGAAAAAAAUGGUUAUUU
rnacentral:lncRNA from 1 species